rnacentral:rRNA from 1 species
CGGAGGAAGAACUAACAAGGAUUCCCCUAGUAACGGCGAGUGAAGCGGGAUGAGCUCAAGCUUAAAAUCUCUGUCACAUAUUUAUUAUGUGCGGCGAAUUGUAGUCUAUAGAAGCGUGGUCAGUGUAGGCACUUGAGAUAAGUUCCUUGAAAAAGGACAGCAUGGAGGGUGAAACUCCCGUUCAUACUUGAGUAGCUUAUGCGUACGACCCGUUUUCUUUGAGUCGCGUUGUUUGAGAAUGCAGCGCAAAGUAGGUGGUAAAUUCCAUCUAAAGCUAAAUAUUGGUGCGAGACCGAUAGCGAACAAGUACCGUGAGGGAAAGAUGAAAAGAACUUUGAAAAGAGAGUUAAAGAGUACCUGAAACUGCUGAAAGGGAACCGGAUCGUUUCUAGUGUCUAUAAUCUGUGACAUAUUUCAUUGGGGAGUGUGUGCGUGUGUAUACUAUGGCAGUGGCUUUUUUGGCUGCGCUUGGUGUGCGUGCUGUAUGUGCUUACUGGUGCCCUGUGUUGCGGUGGGACGUCAAGGUCGGUUUGUAUACUGCGGGAAAUGGCUAUUGAGGAGGUAGGGCUUACGCUUGCGUUUGUCUAUUAUAUCUUGGUAGUUGUGUCGUGGUUGAGACUGAGGUGUCUACAACGUGCUUAUGAGUGGGACUGUGUCUCCGUGUGCGCCGUGUGCGGAUAGCUUGCUAUGUGUGUGUGGUGGUGUGUGGAUUGAUGCGGGCUUUAACUUGUUGCCGUUCGGGACGUUGGCGAAAUAGAGCGAUUUGACCCGUCUUGAAACACGGACCAAGGAGUCUAACAUGUGUGCAAGUGUUAGGGUGUGGAAACCCAAGCGCGAAAUGAAAGUAAAGGAUAGUGUAAACUGUCUGAGGUAGGAAAUGCUGCGGAUUUCGGUCUGUGGCGUGGCACUAUCGACCGAUCAUGAACCUUCGUGGUGAAAGAUUUGAGUUUGAGCACAUAUGUUGGUACCCGAAAGAUGGUGAACUAUGCCUGAGUAGGGUGAAGCCAGGGGAAACUCUGG